AUUCUCUAGAACACAUGAGGCAUGUGCCUCAUCCCAUCCCUGGCUUUCAGCAGUUGACCCUGUAGGUAUUCGUGUAGGAUUAUCUCACCCAUCAGCAAAGCAACUCUAUGGCAGAUCCACAGGUUUCCAAUUCUGAGUCACUUUUUCCAUAAACGGGUAAUUUCUCCAAACAAAGAGUAUGUACAUGAUAUUGAAGAAAGUGCAAAUGGAUCAUGUUGUCACACAAGACUUGGAGCUGGAAAACAGUCCAGUUUAAUGUCAGACUCCCGCAACCUCGUUCAUUAAAGAUGUGGAACUGA